UACGGAGGGUGCGAGCGUUGUCCGGAAUCAUUGGGCGUAAAGGGCGCGUAGGUGGCGCGGUAAGCGUGCGGUGAAAGCCUGGGGCUCAACCCCGGGUCGGCCGUGGCGAACUGCUGGGCUUGAGCACUGUAGAGGCAGGCGGAAUUCCGGGUGUAGCGGUGGAAUGCGUAGAGAUCCGGAAGAACACCGGUGGCGAAGGCGGCCUGCUGGGGCAGUUGCUGACACUGAGGCGCGACAGCGUGGGGAGCAAACAGG
rnacentral:rRNA from 1 species